GUCCAAGUGGCAGUGGACCAAAGCCAUAAGCCAGCGAGGCCAAGGACAGCUGCCGGCCGAUAUCUCAUCACCAUGACGAGCAGGCCGGCUGC
rnacentral:sRNA from 1 species